rnacentral:lncRNA from 1 species
AGCUUUUCCCCAGUGGAUCUUUUUGGCCUUCUAUCCAGUAACCGGUAGUUGUAAGUCCUAUUUCUGUGGUUUUCUACCCAGUAACUGGUAGAUGUAAUCCCCUCUUUGUUGGUUAUCUCUAUCCAAUAUUCGGUAUUGAUAUUCCUUCAUUUUUGAGUAUACCACCCAGUAACCGGUGAUAUAUCUCUUGGAUGAUUGCUUUU